ensembl:lncRNA
AUGCCUGAGAACACCUAUCUCCUAACUCGUCUUCCUGCUUUGAGUGUCCCUCCAAGGAUAAAGCAACUGGCACAGUCUCCGACAAUAGUUUUGAGCUCUUAUCUCCAAGUUGAGGCUGUGCCAGAUGUUGUGGACACAGCCCAGAGGAGAGCUGGUGGCCUCACUGCCCUAAACCUGCAGGGAUGCAAGGUGUUCAGGCCGUGCAAAAUAAUGACAGCUGCAUGGAGACCGGAGAGAGCACCUAGAGGCCUGGAAGGCUUCCAAAAGAAAGAGAUGCUUCCAAACAAAAGGAACAGGAAGUUGGUGUCUUGUCUGUCUGCCAUUCAAGAGGACUGAAUACGUUCCAUUAAAUUCUCCUGCAAACUUUGCUGAAGAGCCCAGCAAGCAGCGAUGAAAAUUACAGAGUGUCUCCCAGGCACUUUCGUGGGUAAUCAGCUGAAAUUGAGCAGUUUUCCAUAUUCUUUGCUGAUAAUGCAAAAGGAAUCUUUAAAACAAACAGCUCCAAGUCACCAUACAUCUUAUAAGCUGAAAGGGCCCAUGUGGUCCACACAGAUGCUCCAGCCACACAUCAGGCCCUGCUGCAGAGUAACUGCUUCCCAUAGCUAUCAGAGGUGAGAGCCAGCCGACUGCCUGUGCCUUCCCAAAUGGCCAGGCUGAGCUAGAGGGUUUAUGGGUCCAGGGCCAAUCAUCGGAAUAGAUUAGCUGUCAAGAAGUAAAAGCAGCUCUAGGAAAUGGCUAGGUCUAGCUAAAAUCCCUAUGAUUUUCUUCACACCAGGUGCAGUUUAUCACUGAAUGUGCUCCCUCAUGCUGUCCAGGAAAAAAGGACUCUGGGUUAAAGAGUAGGAUCUAGGACUCUAGGUCUAAACUGGUCCAGGUUUUAAAUGCCCAAGAUUAUCAACCAAAGUAGAAAAGAGAUGCAGGGAUUAGUGAUGCAGAAAAAGCUGUUUCCUCUAAGAUUUUCAUGGUUCUGAAUGAAGCAUCUGGGGAGAAAAUUCAUUUGGGGGUUGCUAAGAGGCCAAGAGAAGGGAAAAUGGAAAGGAAGCUAGUGUGACAUAUGGUGGGACAUGCAGGGAGGGGCUAUGGACCCAGGCUUUAUUCAGAUGCCAACUUGCCAUGCCCUGGCUAUGUGUAAGCCAAAAAUGUACCUAAGACAAGUCUCAAUCAAUUUAUUUUCCCAAGGUUAAGGAUCAUGGCCCAUGGCCUUAGGAGGUCCUGAGAACAUGUACCUGAAGUGCUUGGGUUACAGCUUGGUUUUGUCUUUUUAGGGAGACAUAAGACAUCGAUCGAUACAUGUGAGGUAUACAUGGGUUUGGUCUGGAAAGUUGUUGCCUAUGAGGGACAACUUGAAGCAGGGACUUACAGGUCAUAGGUGAAUUCAAAGAUUUUCUGAUUGACAAUUGGCUGAAAGAGUUAAGUUAUUAUCGAAAUGCCUGGAAUCAAUAGAAAGGAGUGUGUGGGUUAAGAUAAGGGGUUGUGGAGAUCAAACUUAUUAUGUAGACGAAGUCUCACAGGAAGCUGCCCUUAAAAGCAAUAGAUGGCAAAUGUUUCCUAUUCAGACCUUUAAAAUGUGCUAGAUUCUCAGCUAAUCUCUUCAGGAUCAGAAAAGGACCUGGAAAGAAUGUACAUUCCCCCUACAAGAGACAGCUUUGCAGGUCCAUUUCAAAAUAUGUCAGUGAGAUAUAUUUUGAGGUAAAAUAUUUCCGUU